rnacentral:lncRNA from 1 species
UAGUUACUUUCUUGGCCUAGAGUUGAACUAGUAAAAGGUGCCCAUGCUGCGAGUGCAGUCGUAACACUUUGGCGUUGGAUCCGAGCCCAUGGAGAAAGUUGGAGCUGUAGAGCUGUAUUGUCAACGAUGUCCACACCCGAGUCUGAGAACACGUAUCAAAUAUUUUAAUUGACUUUGAAGUUUUCGUCGCUGGACUCUGCAAGCCAGCCACAG